CCUCUGUGAAUCAGGAUGGCAUUAAACUGCUUUCCCCUCAGUCCUGGUAAUGUGCGGAGGUCGACAAAGGGCUCUGGUCUUCUCUGUGCCAUGCCUUUAGUACAGGUGGCUUCCAGUCCGCAAGUACCCUCGAGCACCCGGACAGCA